UACGUAGGGUGCGAGCGUUAAUCGGAAUUACUGGGCGUAAAGCGUGCGCAGGCGGUUUUGUAAGUCAGAUGUGAAAUCCCCGGGCUUAACCUGGGAACUGCGUUUGAAACUACAAGGCUAGAGUGUAGCAGAGGGGGGUGGAAUUCCACGUGUAGCAGUGAAAUGCGUAGAGAUGUGGAGGAACACCGAUGGCGAAGGCAGCCCCCUGGGUUAACACUGACGCUCAGGCACGAAAGCGUGGGGAGCAAACAGGAUUAGAUACC
rnacentral:rRNA from 1 species